UACGGGGGGGGCAAGCGUUGUUCGGAAUUACUGGGCGUAAAGGGCGCGUAGGCGGUUUGCUAAGUUGGAUGUGAAAACUCUGGGCUUAACCCAGAGCCUGCAUCCAAAACUGGCAAGCUGGAGUUUUGGAGGGGGAAGCGGAAUUCCUGGUGUAGCAGUGAAAUGCGCAGAUAUCAGGAGGAACACCGGUGGCGAAGGCGGCUUCCUGGACAAAAACUGACGCUGAGGCGCGAAAGCUAGGGGAGCAAACAGG
rnacentral:rRNA from 1 species